rnacentral:tRNA from 1 species
CGCGGGGUAGCGCAGAGGUAGAGCACUGGACUCAUAAUCCAGAGGUCGGAGGUUCGAUUCCUUCUCCCGCAA